CAACGCUGGCGGCGUGCCUCAGACAUGCAAGUCGAACGCGAAAGCCCCCUUCGGGGGGCAAGUAGAGUGGCGCACGGGUGAGUAACACGUAGGUAAUCUACCUUUGGAUGGGGAAUAACAACCGGAAACGGUUGCUAAUACCGCAUAAUGCAGCGGCACCUAAUGGUGACAGUUGUUAAAGCGGGGGAUCGAAAGACCUCGCGUCUAAAGAGGAGCCUGCGGCGGAUUAGCUAGUUGGUAAGGUAAUGGCUUACCAAGGCGACGAUCCGUAACCGGCCUGAGAGGGCGGUCGGUCACACUGACACUGACAUACGGGUCAGACUCCUACGGGAGGCAGCAGUCGGGAAUUUUGGGCAAUGGGCGAAAGCCUGACCCAGCAACGCCGCGUGAAGGAUGAAAUCCCUCGGGAUGUAAACUUCGCAAGAACGGGAAGAAUAAGUAGGGGACAAUACCCCCUAUGAUGACGGUACCGUUUGUAAGCUCCGGCUAACUCCGUGCCAGCAGCCGCGGUAAUACGGGGGGAGCAAGCGUUGUUCGGAUUUACUGGGCGUAAAGGGCGCGUAGGCGGCCAGCGCAAGUCAGUUGUGAAAUCUCCGAGCUUAACUCGGAAAGGUCAACUGAUACUGCGCGGCUAGAGUGCGGAAGGGGCAACUGGAAUUCUUGGUGUAGCGGUGAAAUGCGUAGAUAUCAAGAGGAACACCUGCGGCGAAGGCGGGUUGCUGGGCCGACACUGACGCUGAGG
rnacentral:rRNA from 1 species